UGGGGAAUAUUGCACAAUGGGGGGAAACCCUGAUGCAGCGACGCCGCGUGAGUGAAGAAGUAUUUCGGUAUGUAAAGCUCUAUCAGCAGGGAAGAAAAUGACGGUACCUGACUAAGAAACCCCGGCUAACUACGUGCCAGCAGCCGCGGUAAUACGUAGGGGGCAAGCGUUAUCCGGAUUUACUGGGUGUAAAGGGAGCGCAGGCGGUGCGGCAAGUCUGAUGUGAAAGCCCGGGGCUCAACCCCGGUACUGCAUUGGAAACUGUCGUACUAGAGUGUCGGAGGGGUAAGUGGAAUUCCUAGUGUAGCGGUGAAAUGCGUAGAUAUUAGGAGGAACACCAGUGGCGAAGGCGGCUUACUGGACGAUAACUGACGCUGAGGCGCGAAAGCGU
rnacentral:rRNA from 1 species